rnacentral:rRNA from 1 species
CUUGCUAAGUUUGAUGGCGACCGGCGCACGGGUGAGUAACACGUAUCCAACCUGCCGAUAACUCGGGGAUAGCCUUUCGAAAGAAAGAUUAAUACCCGAUGGCAUAAUAGAACCGCAUGGUUUGAUUAUUAAAGAAUUUCGGUUAUCGAUGGGGAUGCGUUCCAUUAGGCAGUUGGUGGGGUAACGGCCCACCAAACCUUCGAUGGAUAGGGGUUCUGAGAGGAAGGUCCCCCACAUUGGAACUGAGACACGGUCCAAACUCCUACGGGAGGCAGCAUG